GGCUGCUGUUGCAGUCCGACUACCGGGGCGCCAUGGAGCGUAUUAGGACCCUAUGAUGAUGUAUGAAGGUCUGGAGCUGCCGUCUUCGGGAUGUGCCAUUUGUUUCAAAAUUAUUUACUCAUCCAAGUCCAUUUAAAUAAAAGUGCA